AUUUCAGGUGAGACCCAGAUGCAGACAACGUUGAAGUAACAACAGUUUAUUAAUCCAACAGGGGCAGGCAGGCCAGGUCAGGGCAGGCAGAGGUCAGUAAUCCAGAUAGGUGAGGCAAAGGUACAGGACGGCAGGCAGGCCAGGUCAGGGCAGGCAGAGGUCAGUAAUCCAGAUAGGUGGGGCAAAGGUACAGGACGGCAGGCAGGUCAGGUCAGGGCAGGGCAGAGGUCAGUAAUCCAGAUAGGUGGGGCAAAGGUACAGGACGGCAGGCAGGCCAGGUCAGGGCAGGCAGAGGUCAGUAAUCCAGAUAGGUGGGGCAAAGGUACAGGACGGCAGGCAGGCCAGGUCACGGCAGAAUGGUCAACACCGGAAAAACUAGAAC
ensembl:lncRNA